GUUUGAAAUGAAGAUAAAACAUUAUAUCCCUAUUGGGAUGAUUGGCUGGCAUGAUGGCCUAAAUUCUGUAUUUAGCUCUAUCUGAUCAUCU
rfam:Triticum aestivum genome assembly, contig: Triticum_aestivum_CS42_TGACv1_scaffold_405172_5BL